AUGAUUCUGUGGGGUCUUCUCCUCUGCCUGGUGACAGCCCCCCUGGGUGUCCUGUCCCAGGUGCAGAUGCAGGAGUCGGGUCCAGGACUGGUGGCCCCCUCCCAGACCCUCUCCCUCACCUGCUCUGUCUCUGGUUACUCCAUCUCUUCGGGUUACUGCUGGGCAUGGAUCCGCCAGUCCCCAGGGAAGGGCCUGCUCUGGUUGGGGCACAUAUGUUAUAGUGGAAACACCUACUACAGCCCGACCUUCAAGAGCCGCGUCUCCAUCACCAGAGACACGAACAAGAACCAGUUCUCCCUGCAGCUGAGCUCAGUGACCCCAGAUGACACAGCCGUGUAUUACUGUGCUAAAGAGUAUCAUAUCACAGUGAGGGGAAGUCAGGGACUUCCCCAUGCGGCCCUUUCUCCGUAA